CGGAGAGGGCGCCUGAGAAACGGCUACCACUUCUAAGGAAGGCAGCAGGCGCGCAAAUUACCCAAUCCUGACUCAGGGAGGUAGUGACAAGAAAUAACAAUAAACCGGCUUAUGCCGGUUUAAUUGGAAUGAGUACAAUUUAAACAUCUUAACGAGGAACAAUUGGAGGGCAAGUCUGGUGCCAGCAGCCGCGGUAAUUCCAGCUCCAAUAGCGUAUACUAAAGUUGUUGCAGUUAAAAAGCUCGUAGUUGGAUUUCUGCGGGGACGGAGCGGCCGGACGCAACUUGCGUCUCGAGCUAGCGCUUUCCCCGCAUCCUGCCGCGAACCGUGCUACCAUUAGUUUGGUGGCGCUGGGGAUCGGCUCGACUACUUUGAGAAAAAUAGAGUGUUCAAAGCAGGCCACGCGCCUUGAAUAAGUUAGCAUGGAAUAAUGACUAAGGACUUCGGUUCUAUUUUGUUGGUGUUCGGGACUGAAGUAAUGAUUGAUAGGGACAGUUGGGGCGGUCUGUAUUCCAAAGCGAGAGGUGAAAUUCUUAGACCUUCGGAAGACAAACAGCUGCGAAAGCGUUCCGCAAGGAUGUUCCCUUUGAUCAAGAACGAAAGUUGGGGGACCGAAGACGAUCAGAUACCGUCGUAGUCUCAACUAUAAACUAUACCAGCUAGGGAUCGGCCAACGUUUAAUUAUUCGACUUGGUCGGCACCUUAUGAGAAAUCAAAGCAUCUGGGUUCCGGGGGGAGUAUGGUCGCAAGGCUGAAACUUAAAGGAAUUGACGGAAGGGCACCACCAGCCGUGGAGCCUGUGGCUUAAUUUGACUCAACACGGGAAAACUUACCAGGUCCAGACAUAGGAAGGAUUGACAGAUUGAUAGCUCUUUCUUGAUUCUGUGGGUGGUGGUGCAUGGCCGUUUUUAGUUGGUGGAGUGAUUUGUCUGCUUAAUUGCGUUAACGAACGAGACCCCAGCCUGCUAAAUAGCGCGGCCGAGCUUUGCUCGGUGCGAGCUUCUUAGAGGGACCAUGAUGCGCGAUAGCACAAGGAAGUUUGGGGCAACAACAGGUCUGUGAUGCCCUUAGAUGUUCUGGGCCGCACACGGGCUACACUGGCGCCUGCAACGAGCAUAUCAGCUGGCCCGAGAGGGUCUUGGCUAAUCUUUUGAACCGGCGCCGUGCUUGGGAUUGACCAUUGCAAUUGUUGGUCAUGCAACGAGGAAUGCCUUGUAAACGCGAGUCAUCAGCUCGCAUUGAAUACGUCCCUGCCCUUUGUACACACCGCCCGUCGCUCCUACCGAUGAAUGUUCCGAUGAAAUUUUCGGAGAGCGCCAGAGAACGGGGCUCUGCCUUGCAGAUCUGGAGGCUCAAAGUCACUUAAAUCUGAACAUUUCGAGGAAGGAGAAGUCGUAACAAGGUAACC
rnacentral:rRNA from 1 species